AUGUUCUCUGUAGCUGUGCUGCUGCUGCUGCUGGCUGCUGGAUCUUGUGUUGAUGGUCAGACUCUGACAGAAUCUGAACCAGCAGUUAAAAGUCCUGGAGGAUCUCACAGAUUGACCUGUACAGCCACUGGAUUCACAUUCAGCAGCUACGGCAUGCACUGGGUCAGACAGGCUCCUGGAAAAGGACUGGAGUGGAUCGCUUAUAUCUACACUGAUGGCAGCAGCCAGUUCUACUCUCAGUCAGUCAGAGGGCGGUUUACCAUCUCCAGAGACAACAGCAGACAGCAGCUGUAUCUGCAGAUGAACAGUCUGAAGACUGAAGAUUCUGCUGUUUAUUUAUAA